rnacentral:rRNA from 1 species
UUGAUCCUGGGUCAGGACGAACGCUGGCGGCGUGCUUAACACAUGCAAGUCGAACGAUGAAGCCUUUCGGGGUGGAUUAGUGGCGAACGGGUGAGUAACACGUGGGUAACCUGCCCUUGGCUUUGGGAUAAGCCCUGGAAACGGGGUCUAAUACCGGAUAUGACUGACUCUCGCAUGGGGGUUGGUGGAAAGUUCCGGCGGCUAGGGAUGGGCCCGCGGCCUAUCAGCUUGUUGGUGGGGUGAUGGCCUACCAAGGCGACGACGGGUAGCCGGCCUGAGAGGGCGACCGGCCACACUGGGACUGAGACACGGCCCAGACUCCUACGGGAGGCAGCAGUGGGGAAUAUUGCACAAUGGGCGAAAGCCUGAUGCAGCGACGCCGCGUGAGGGAUGACGGCCUUCGGGUUGUAAACCUCUUUCGCCCAGGACGAAGGGUAACUGACGGUACUGGGAGAAGAAGCACCGGCUGACUACGUGCCAGCAGCCGCGGUAAUACGUAGGGUGCGAGCGUUGUCCGGAAUUAUUGGGCGUAAAGAGCUCGUAGGCGGUUUGUCGCGUCGACUGUGAAAACCUGGGGCUCAACUCUGGGCUUGCAGUCGAUACGGGCAGACUUGAGUUCGGUAGGGGAGACUGGAGUUCCUGGUGUAGCGGUGAAAUGCGCAGAUAUCAGGAGGAACACCGGUGGCGAA